rnacentral:lncRNA from 1 species
CCCCUUUUGGGGUUUUUAUCAUCUGUGUGCGGGCUGCCGAGUGGGCCGUGGCUCGUUCGGGGGAUGAUUUGGAGAUUCGUGGCAUCUCCUUGUUAGAACAUUGAAAUGUUGCAAUGCAGUGCAAAGAAAAGUGCAGUGCAGUGCAGGAUGCAGUUGUUUGCAUUCCAUUUCUUUACAGUACGAUUUUAUUGAAGUGUUUAUUCAGUAGAAAAUAUCAAAUAUUAAUAAAAAUCAAAACAUGCAAUGGAAAUUUUGCUGCAAUUGGCAGGAAUGGAAAGCUGAUCAGCAUGCAUGCAAUUGUCAGAAGUACAAAUCUGAUGUAUGAAAUUCAGUUAUAAAGUAAUCACUGCAUAUUUUUUAAACAUUCAGAACUAUUUGAAAAACACACAAAUUGUCAGUAAAACAUAUUGGAACUUAUUAUAUUUCUAUUUAAUAUUAAUUGAUAAUACAUGUAUUAAUGAUAGCCAGAGCAGUGGCAUAGUUAGGGUGGAGCGGAGGGGGCAGUCUACCCUGGUUGGCAUUUUUGGCAUUAAAAAAAUUUUUAAACACUUUUUCAAUAAUAAUAAAAGUAAAAUAAUCAACUAUUCCAAAUGUUAACAAUUACAAAAAUUAUAUGAGUGUCAUUGAAUAAUAUUGUCCAAG